CUGGAAUCGCAAGAUCCCACAACCCCUGUGAACCUACCGAAACGUUGCCUCGGCGGGUGCCCGGCCCUGCGCGGGCGCUGCGCCCGCCGGCGGCCCCUACUCUUGUCUCUGCAGCGUGCAUCUCAGAGUCCCAGAAAACAAGUCA
rnacentral:misc_RNA from 1 species